AGAAAAGAAAGGAGAGCCAAAAAAAAUAAAAUGUUGUUAACAUCUCAUUUAACAGCCCCUGUCUCUUCUACUAGAUUUUGUUUCUCCUCUUCAUUCACUUUGACCACCACCAUAUUUCCUAAAUCUCCUUCCUUCUUCUCCUCCUAUUUAAGAUCAGCAUCAACAUCAUCUACACCAUCUAUUCUUCUCACAAACCCUCCCAUCUUCACGACUACUACUAGUACUAGUACUCGGAGGAGGACCUUCUCUCCUCGCUCUUCCUCCCCCUCCUCCGCCGCCAUGGUUGACGCCGCCGCCGCCGCCUCCGAUGCUGGGAUGGACGCUGUCCAGAGGCGUCUCAUGUUCGAAGACGAGUGUAUUUUGGUGGAUGAGAAUGAUCGUGUUGUUGGUCAUGAUACCAAAUACAAUUGUCACUUGAUGGAAAAGAUUGAAUCUGAGAAUUUGCUGCACAGAGCUUUCAGCGUAUUUUUGUUUAACUCAAAAUAUGAGUUACUCCUUCAGCAAAGGUCUGCGACCAAGGUAACAUUCCCUCUGGUGUGGACAAACACUUGCUGUAGCCAUCCGCUAUACCGAGAAUCUGAGCUUAUUGACGAGAAUGCCCUUGGGGUGAGAAAUGCUGCACAAAGGAAGCUUAUGAACUGGGUAUUCCUGCUAAGAUGUGCCAGUUGAUCAGUUCACCCAUUGGGUCGCAUGUUGUACAAGCACAUCUGAUGGGAAGUGGGGAGAGCAUGAACUUGACUACCUACUGUUCAUUGUCCGGGAUGUUAAUGUGAAUCCAAACCCUGAUGAAGUUGCUGAUGUCAAAUAUGUGAACCGGGAUGAGUUGAAAGAGCUGUUGAGAAAAGCAGAUGCUGGUGAGGGGGGUUUGAAGCUGUCCCCAUGGUUCAGACUAGUUGUGGAUAACUUCUUGCUCAAGUGGUGGGACAAUGUGGAAAAAGGGACCCUCCAGGAAGCUGCUGAUAUGAAAACAAUUCACAAGUUGAUUUAAAAUCCCUUGUCUCCCCUCCCUAUGGGAUGCAGUGCGUUUGUUGGAUCAUGAUCUUCGGUUUCUUCAGACAAUAAAUUUAUGUUGCAUGCCGCUUUAGAAAAAAAAGGUUUUGCUGGCGUUACAAAUUCUGUUCUGUUCUUGCCCAAACAAAGUGUUGUCAUUUUGUUUUGUGGUCCUUAUGUUUUCUCUUUAAGUAGUUAUUGUGCUUCUAAUUUAGAUUUGAUCUAAACCUUUGAGAACACAAAAAUAAAACUUUUUGUGGAAUGUGCAAUUGUAAGAUGAGUUUUAUCAUAUCAUUAUGGUGGUUUUUAUUUGGAUUUGGGUAAA